rnacentral:rRNA from 1 species
UGAGUACGAGAUGCUACGGCAUUGAAGCAGUCUAUGUCAUACUUCCAAGAAAAGCUUGCACUGUCAUAAACAAAGAAUGCCUGUACCAUAACCGACACAGGUGGGUAGGUAGAGUAUACUAAGGGGCGCGAGAUAACUCUCUCUAAGGAACUCGGCAAAAUGACUCCGUAACUUCGGGAGAAGGAGUGCCUUAUUUUUAAGGUUGCAAUAACAAGAUCCAAGCAACUGUUUAUCAAAAACACAGGUCUCCGCUAAGUCGUAAGACGAUGUAUGGGGGCUGACGCCUGCCCAGUGCCAGAAGGUUAAAGAAGUUGGUUAGCAUUCGCGAAGCUGAUAACUGAAGCCCUGGUGAACGGCGGCCGUAACAAUAACGGUCCUAAGGUAGCGAAAUUCCUUGUCGGGUAAGUUCCGACCCGCACGAAAGGCGUAAUGAUUUGGAUACUGUCUCGGAGAGGGACUCGGUGAAAUAGACUUGUCUGUGAAGAUGCGGACUACCUGCACCUGGACAGAAAGACCCUAUGAAGCUUUACUGUAACUUGAAAUUGAGAUUGGACUUUAGUUGCGCAGGAUAGGUGGGAGGCGUUGAGAAUAUUCUUGCGGGAGUAUUGGAGCCAUCAGUGAGAUACCACUCUUCUAAUGUUAGAUUUCUAACUUUGUAUCAUUAUCUGGUCAAAGAACAGUUUCAGGCGGGCAGUUUGACUGGGGCGGUCGCCUCCUAAAGGGUAACGGAGGCGCACAAAGGUUUCCUCUGAACGAGUAGAAAUCGUAUCUAGAGUGUAAAGGCAUAAGGAAGCUUGACUGUGAGACCUACAAGUCGAGCAGGGACGAAAGUCGGUCUUAGUGAUCUGACGGUGCUGAGUGGAAAGGCCGUCACUCAACGGAUAAAAGUUACUCUAGGAUAACAGGCUGAUCUCCCCCAAGAGUUCACAUCGACGGGGAGGUUUGGCACCUCGAUGUCGGCUCAUCGCAUCCUGGGGCGGUAGUACGUCCCAAGGGUUGGGCUGUUCGCCCAUGAAAGCGGUACGCGAGCUGGGUUCAGAACGUCGUGAGACAGUUCGGUCCAUAUCCGGUGUAGGCGUUAGAAUAUUGAGAGGAGCCUUCUCUAGUACGAGAGGACCGAGAAGGACAUACCUCUAGUGUACCAGUUAUCGUGCCAACGGUAAACGCUGGGUAGCUAUGUAUGGAGUGGAUAACCGCUGAAAGCAUCUAAGUGGGAAGCCCACCUCAAGAUAAG